rnacentral:lncRNA from 1 species
UUACUUUCCUGUGCUUUUAAAAGCAUGUGCCGAAGCUCGUGCGCUUCUAAUAUUUUAGCUAUCAGAUUGUCUCAAAAUUCGUAUAAUAUUAAUAAAUAUAUGAUUAAUAUUGCCGUACGGAUUUUGAAGUAAUUUGGUAGCUAAAAAGUCAUAAAAACAAAUGACUCUUUAUUUUUAAAAGAAUAGAAGCUUAACUCACACUCUCUCUCUCUCUCCUAAUUAAGAAUUAGAUGUACGUGUACCCUAUUUUCAGAGGAUGUUUAUUUGAUAGAGAUAGUCCGAGCUAGUGUUAGGGGAGUGGAAGAGAGUGGGAGCAUACAGUAAGCGCUACUUAAUAAGUGUACUUUGAACUGCAAAUUCAUUACUGAGAGUUGUUGUCCUUGAGAUACUCUUUGUAGGACAAACUAGUAAGACCUGCCCUUUGAUGCGUCUAUUUGGUUCUUUGAGUGGAUUCUCUUUCUUUUCUUUUUAUGGUGUUAAAAGCAGUAUACUGUACUGUACUGUACUGUACUGUGGCUUUUAUAUAUAUGUAUAGAAAGAGAGAGAGAGAGAGAGAGAGUAGGGAUCAAGUUAAUUUACAGUUGUAAAACGCAUCUUUAGAGAUUCUAAAAUUGAGAUUCAAAUUAUUAAAUAUGGUCAAGAACAUCAAAAAGAGUUAUUCACAUUUAUAAACACAAGAUAUAGAUUUCCAAAAAUUGAGAUUUUUUGCAAGUAGAUUGUUCAUAUGUUGCAAAUCAUACUUAACUAUUUUGAUCUUCAUUAAUUUGAAGGUCCCUGUAAGUAGAUUUUAGCUUACGAAAGAAGUGUGUAAUUAAAAUAUUAAAUUUAUUUUGAUCUUCAUUAAUUUGUACAAAAUUUAAAAUUUGAUAUUUUAAUUUAAAAAGUAAAUUUAAUAUUUAAAAUUGGAAUUNCUUUAAUUAAUUAAUUAUGCUGUUCUUGAAUUUCUUUUCAUAUAUAUAUAUAAUAUAUAUAUAGAGAGAGAGAAUUACUUUCCUGUACUUUAAAAGCACGUGUCGAAGCUCGUGCGCUUCUAAUAUUUUAGCUAUCAGAUUGUCUCAAAAUUCGUACAAUAUUAAUAAAUAUAUAAUUAAUAGUGUUGUACGAAUCUUGAAGUAAUUUGGUAGCUAAAAAGUCAUAAGAAUAAAUGAUUUUUAAUUUUUAAAAGAAUAGAAGCUUAACUCACACUCUCUCUCUCUCCUAAUUAAGAAUUAGAUGUGUACCCUAUUUUCAGAGGAUGUUUAUUUGAUAGAGAUAGUCCGAGCUAGUGUUAGGGGAGUGGAAGAGAGUGGGAGCAUACAGUAAGCGCUACUUAAUAAGUGUACUUUGAACUGCAAAUUCAUUACUGAGAGUUGUUGUCCUUGAGAUACUCUUUGUAGGACAAACUAGUAAGACCUGCCCUUUGAUGCGUCUAUUUGGUUCUUUGAGUGGAUUCUCUUUCUUUUCUUUUUAUGGUGUUAAAAGCAGUAUACUGUACUGUACUGUACUGUACUGUACUGUGGCUUUUAUAUAUAUAUAUGUAUAGAGAAAGAGAGAGAGAGGGUAGGGAUCAAGUUAAUUUACAGUAGUAAAACGCAUCUUUAGAGAUUCUAAAAUUGAGAUUCAAAUUAUUAAAUAUGGUCAAGAAAAUCAAAAAGAGGUAUUCACAUUUAUAAACACAAGGUAUAGAUUUCCAAAAAUUGAGAUUUUUUGCAAGUAGAUUGUUCAUAUGUUGCAAAUCAUACUUAACUAUUUUGAUCUUCAUUAAUUUGAAGGUCCCUGUAAGUAGAUUUUAGCUUAUGAAAGAAGUGUGU